AACCCAAUACCGCGCUGUAAAUAAACCAGUGACAGUACGAACAUGCGACCUGGGCACUGUGGGCCGCUCCACACUCUUUGUGUCAGUUUCAAUUGGUGUUGUUUUCAUUUAUGGCGGUUUGUUUACAUUUCGUUGCGGUUAUCAUCAGGUUUCCGUGGUUCGAUAUUCGGUCGAGCUUUCUUUUCGUCAACCUCAUCGUGACGAUCGUGGUGCUCGGUGGACUGUUGGCAACGAUCGAAAAGCAUCUCCCCACUGCCAUCCGGCAGACGUUUGCUGCCCUCUGGUCGGUGGCCGGAUUUGCCGUCAUGAUGUAGCCAGCGCGGGACUACGUAAUCGCCUUCCUCGAUACGUUGGCAACCAACAAGCAUAUGGUGCGCACCACACCUACCGAGACGAUGGUUGCCAUGACGCUGAUCACGCUGCAGUAUUUGCGCCGGUUCCACAAGACCUGGUUCGUGCAGGUGUUCUCGAGCAAGCUGAAAAUCACCCACCAGUGGUUGCUGGUUCCCGGCUGAUGGGAUUCAGCUGGUUUUCCUGGAUCGUCUGUGAAUGCCUUGUUCCACGGACCGGUCGUCGAUGCACUCGAGGUGCACCGCAUUGACGAGCGGCAGUAGCAGGAUUCAAUCGGCGCGGCCGAGCUGGCAGCGAAGCCGUUUCUCGGUGAGCCAUUCACGCCGAAUGAGGGCGGUCAAGAGCCGGCUGCAUACGUUCGAUUCGUUCGAUUCGAUAUUCGUUACGCGCACGAUUAAACUGUGUAACGAUGCCGAGUGUGUCCGGCCAUCGCGACUAGCAGCACAGCGGAAGUUAAGUUGCGUCGUCUAUUGUGGUGCGAUGCGCUGUAUGUUCCGGGUGUGCGAUUGAGCUUCAUGUUUGUUUCUUUUUUGUUCACAGACACCUUUUCAUCAACAACUAGCAUGACUAUCGGCGCACGGUCGGUGGCUCUAGCGAAGGGGAGGGUGCGUUCCAAUCGGCUGGCAGGACACAGAUCGGAUCGGUUAGGACAGCGAUCGGCAUAGUACGGCUCGCGACCCGCAUGUGGCUAUUUGUUGACUAGAUGCCUCUUCAAGUGCAAAUCUACGAACAUGUUUAGAAGACUUGGCUCUUUCGGUCGCAACGUUUGCCGAGUUGCUGGGGAUAUUGGAUUGUAAGGAAUGAAUAUACUGUCUGCAGGAACCAGAUGAUGAUAUCACCAAGGAGCUACUGCGCUAAAGCUUAUCAGGAGGAGGCGAGAAUGGUUUGACUUUGGCACAGCUCCCACGUAUCAUCCAUACCACACCAAAUCAUUAUGGCGCAGCCGUGAAUAUGUACAACGUCAUCCUGCUCGGGUUGGAUGGUGACGGUCUCCCGCUCGGUAUAUCUUGACGGCAGUAUAACGCAAGGCAAGUAUACAUAUAGUUUCAGUACGUUUAAUAAGUAUAAAGAAUGCUAAUAUUUUUGUUUCUUAUUCAAAUUUUCAGAUUCAAAUGAACAAUAUACAAGGUGCACUAAACAUACACUGGACUCUGUUUGGAACGGGUCUAGUAAAAGUAUUUGUUAGUGGUGCGUGCAUAUUAUUAUGUGCACCUAUUUUAAUGUUCCUAUCUUGUUACCGAUCGAACCGACCAAACCCAGUAGAAUAAAAAAUAUGAUUACAUUACAU